CAGAGUAGAGCAAGCGCGUUAAGUGCCGGCGGAUGGGAGGUCGCCGCCGGACGAAGCACAGUUCUGUGCGCGGUGCUUGUUCGCAUCCGCUGC
rnacentral:ncRNA from 1 species